rnacentral:rRNA from 1 species
UACGUAGGGCGCAAGCGUUGUCCGGAAUUAUUGGACGUAAAGAGCUCGUAGGCGGCUUGUCACGUCGAUUGUGAAAGCCCGAGGCUUAACCUCGGUCUGCAGUCGAUACGGGCUAGCUAGAGUGUGGUAGGGGAGAUCGGAAUUCCUGGUGUAGCGGUGAAAUGCGCAGAUAUCAGGAGGAACACCGGUGGCGAAGGCGGUUCUCUGGGCCUUACCUGACGCUGAGGAGCGAAAGCGUGGGGGAGCGAACAGG